rnacentral:rRNA from 1 species
GAUGAACGCUGGCGGCGUGCCUAAUACAUGCGAGUCGAGCGAACGGACGAGAAGCUUGCUUUUCUGAUGUUAGCGGCGGACGGGUGAGUAACACGUGGAUAACCUACCUAUAAGACUGGGAUAACUUCGGGAAACCGGAGCUAAUACCGGAUAAUAUAUUGAACCGCAUGGUUCAAAAGUGAAAGACGGUCUUGCUGUCACUUAUAGAUGGAUCCGCGCUGCAUUAGCUAGUUGGUAAGGUAACGGCUUACCAAGGCAACGAUGCAUAGCCGACCUGAGAGGGUGAUCGGCCACACUGGAACUGAGACACGGUCCAGACUCCUACGGGAGGCAGCAGUAGGGAAUCUUCCGCAAUGGGCGAAAGCCUGACGGAGCAACGCCGCGUGAGUGAUGAAGGUCUUCGGAUCGUAAAACUCUGUUAUUAGGGAAGAACAUAUGUGUAAGUAACUGUGCACAUCUUGACGGUACCUAAUCAGAAAGCCACGGCUAACUACGUG